rnacentral:lncRNA from 1 species
GAAUGUAUACAAAGUGUUUAUCUCGUUUGAUUUUGAAAGACGUUUAGAAAAAUAUAACUCGGCGAUGAUUCUGGUGUGAGUGUAUACCAAGUGGUGAUUUUCUAAAAGAUGUUUUUGAAAAGUGUGAGGUGUGAAAAGUAUUUUAAGUUGUGAGCAAGCAUUUAAGAGUUAUACCUAACCAAGGUCUUUAUAGGUAUUCCCUAUCCUUAGGAGGGUAAAAUUGUCCUUACUAUUGAG